GAGUUUGAUCCUGGCUCAGGACGAACGCUGGCGGCGUGCCUAACACAUGCAAGUCGAACGGAACUGUUUUGAAAGAUUUCUUCGGAAUGAAUUUGAUUUAGUUUAGUGGCGGACGGGUGAGUAACGCGUGAGUAACCUGCCUUAUACAGGGGGAUAACAGUCAGAAAUGACUGCUAAUACCGCAUAAGCGCACAGGACCGCAUGGUCCGGUGUGAAAAACUCCGGUGGUAUAAGAUGGACCCGCGUUGGAUUAGCUAGUUGGUGAGGUAACGGCCCACCAAGGCGACGAUCCAUAGCCGGCCUGAGAGGGUGAACGGCCACAUUGGAACUGAGACACGGUCCAAACUCCUACGGGAGGCAGCAGUGGGGAAUAUUGCACAAUGGGGGAAACUCUGAUGCAGCGACGCCGCGUGAAGGAAGAAGUAUCUCGGUAUGUAAACUUCUAUCAGCAGGGAAGAAAAUGACGGUACCUGACUAAGAAGCCCCGGCUAACUACGUGCCAGCCGCCGCGGUAAUAC
rnacentral:rRNA from 1 species